rnacentral:rRNA from 1 species
GAUCCUGGCUCAGAAUCAACGCUGGCGGCGUGCCUAACACAUGCAAGUCGCACGAGAAAGGGUAGCAAUACCUGAGUAAAGUGGCGCACGGGUGAGUAACACGUGAAUCAUCUACCUCCGAGUGGGGAAUAACUGAGAGAAAUCUUAGCUAAUACCGCAUAACACUCACGAGUCAAAGCAGCAAUGCGCUUGGAGAGGAGUUCGCGGCAGAUUAGUUAGUUGGCGGGGUAAUGGCCCACCAAGACGAUGAUCUGUAUCCGGCCUGAGAGGGCGCACGGACACACUGGAACUGAAACACGGUCCAGACUCCUACGGGAGGCAGCAGUGGGGAAUUUUGCGCAAUGGGGGAAACCCUGACGCAGCAACGCCGCGUGGAGGAUGAAAUCCCUUGGGAUGUAAACUCCUUUCGAUAGGGAAGAUAAUGACGGUACCUAUAGAAGAAGCCCCGGCUAACUUCGUGCCAGCAGCCGCGGUAAUACGAGGGGGGCAAGCGUUGUUCGGAUUUAUUGGGCGUAAAGGGUGCGUAGGCGGUUUGGCAAGUCUUGUGUGAAAUCUUCGGGCUCAACCCGAAGCCUGCACAAGAAACUGCCGGGCUUGAGUAUGGGAGAGGUGAGUGGAAUUUCCGGUGUAGCGGUGAAAUGCGUAGAUAUCGGAAGGAACACCUGUGGCGAAAGCGGCUCACUGGACCAU